CACGGGGGGAGCAAGCGUUGUUCGGAAUCACUGGGCGUAAAGGGCGUGUAGGCGGUCUGGUAAGUGGGAUGUGAAAGCCCCCGGCUCACCCGGGGAUCUGCAUUCCAAACUGCCAGACUUGAGUAUGGGAGAGGACAGGGGAAUUCCUGGCGUAGCGGUGAAAUGCGUAGAUAUUCGCAAGACCACCAGUGGCGAAGGCGGCUUGCCAGAACGCGCUCGACGGUGAGGGAUGAAAGCUGGGGGAGCAAACCGG
rnacentral:rRNA from 1 species